rnacentral:rRNA from 1 species
UACGUAGGUCCCGUGCGUUGUCCGGAUUUAUUGGGCGUAAAGCGAGCGCAGGUGGUUUAUUAAGUCUGGUGUAAAAGGCAGUGGCUCAACCAUUGUAUGCAUUGGAAACUGGUAGACUUGAGUGCAGGAGAGGAGAGUGGAAUUCCAUGUGUAGCGGUGAAAUGCGUAGAUAUAUGGAGGAACACCGGUGGCGAAAGCGGCUCUCUGGCCUGUAACUGACACUGAGGCUCGAAAGCGUGGGGAGCAAACAGG